CGCCCGUCACACCAUGAGAGUUGGUAAUACCAGAAGCAGGUGUCCUAACCGUAAGGAGGGAGCCUACCAAGGUAGGAUUAGCGAUUAGGGUGAAGUCGUAACAAGGUAUCCGUACGGGAACGUGCGGAUGGAUCACCUCCUUUCUAUGGAGAGAAUUAAGUAAAUGAAGCUGAAAGUGACUAAGUGUAUUAACAGCUUCGACUAUCCUUUAUGUUCUAUUUAGUUUUCAGAGAUUAUUUGAAUAAUUUGGCAACAAAUUAUUGAUAAUCUUUGAAAAGAGAAUUGUUCUUUGAAAACUGAAUAUUAGAUGAAAAAAUACAAUUUUCUUAUUUGUUUUAUAUAAAUAAAAAAUUAGACAUCAAUUGUUAUUAAAAAAACUAAAAUUGAAAUCAUAAAUUUGCAAUAGGUUUUUCUCUAAAAAGUAUAGUAAGGGCAUAUGGUGAAUGCCUUGGAAAAUGGAGCCGAAGAAGGACGUGACUACCUGCGAAAAGCAUCGGGGAGCUGGAAGUGAGCUUUGAUCCGGUGAUACCCGAAUGGGGAAACCCAAUACGAUUCAUCUCGUAUUAUCCAUGACUGAAUUCAUAGGUCAUGAGAAGGGAACCUUGGGAACUGAAACAUCUUAGUACCAAGAGGAAAAGAAAUCGAAUGAGAUUCCGUCAGUAGCGGCGAGCGAAAGCGGAACAGGCCAAACCGGUCUACGGACCGGGGUUGUAGGACCUUAGUUAGAGUUACAAAAUUAAUGUAUAGCAGAAGCUGUUGGGAAGCAGCACCGCAGAGGGUGAUAGUCCCGUAUGCGAAAUACAUUAGUCUCGAAGAGGUAUCCUGAGUACGGCGGGGCACGUGAAACCCUGUCGGAAUCUACCCAGACCACUGGGUAAGCCUAAAUACUACCAUUUUACCGAUAGUGAACCA
rnacentral:sRNA from 1 species